rnacentral:rRNA from 1 species
ACCAGACUCCUACGGGAGGCAGCAGUGGGGAAUAUUGGGCAAUGGGCGCAAGCCUGACCCAGCAACGCCGCGUGAAGGAAGAAGGCUUUCGGGUUGUAAACUUCUUUUCUCGGGGACGAAGAGAUGACGGUACCUGAGGAAUAAGCCACGGCUAACUACGUGCCAGCAGCCGCGGUAAUACGUAGGUGGCAAGCGUUAUCCGGAUUUACUGGGUGUAAAGGGCGUGUAGGCGGGGACGCAAGUCAGAUGUGAAAACCACGGGCUCAACCUGUGGCCUGCAUUUGAAACUGUUUUUCUUGAGUACUGGAGGGGCAGGCGGAAUUCCUAGUGUAGCGGUGAAAUGCGUAGAUAUUAGGAGGAACACCGGUGGCGAAGGCGGCCUGCUGGACUGUGACUGACGUUGAGGCUCGAAAGCGUGGGGAGCAAACAGGAUUAGAUACCCGGGUACG